ACUCAUAAUCUAAAAAAAGUUUUUGGAGAAUAUAACUUAGGUAUGUGAUAAUAGUGUAUUUAUUUAAUUUGUAUAACAUAUAAUUUUAUUAUUUUUAUUUUUUUGAAUUAUUAUAAUGUUUGUUAAAAUGAUAGCAGUCAUUAUGUUGUGUAUGCAACCAUCACCAUAAAUCAUUACUUUAUAACUCACGUAAAAGGCGUUUGCAUAAAAGAACAUUUCGAAAUUAAAAAAAAAAGAUGCAAGUGGGUACCGCUCUGCUGUACAUUGUACAUUAGAUGUUCUGUGGCCUGUAGGUCACUGUGAUGGGAGAGAUAAAUUUGAAUUCAAUGAUAUAAAAUCAUUGUAUAGGAAAAAGAUUCUGAGCGAUGAAGAUCAGGCUAUAUUACUAAGUACUAAAUGGAUAUCAUGCACUUCUUUAUCCAUUCGAUUACGCACCUAAGUUAUGCAAAGACUCUACGAAAAUAACAUU